GAUGAACGCUGGCGGCGUGCCUAAUACAUGCAAGUCGAGCGAACAGAUGAGGAGCUUGCUCCUCUGACGUUAGCGGCGGACGGGUGAGUAACACGUGGAUAACCUACCUAUAAGACUGGGAUAACUUCGGGAAACCGGAGCUAAUACCGGAUAAUAUAUUGAACCGCAUGGUUCAAUAGUGAAAGACGGUUUUGCUGUCACUUAUAGAUGGAUCCGCGCCGCAUUAGCUAGUUGGUAAGGUAACGGCUUACCAAGGCAACGAUGCGUAGCCGACCUGAGAGGCUGAUCGGCCACACUGGAACUGAGACACGGUCCAGCCUCCUACGGGAGGCAGCCGUAGGGAAUCUUCCCCAAUGGGCGAAAGCCUGACGGAGCAACGCCGCGUGAGUGAUGAAGGUCUUCGGAUCGUAAAACUCUGUUAUUAGGGAAGAACAAAUGUGUAAGUAACUAUGCACGUCUUGACGGUACCUAAUCAGAAAGCCACGGCUAACCACGUG
rnacentral:rRNA from 1 species